GGUGCGCGGGGCAAGAGGCGGGGGUAAUACGUGGGGAGGGGUGGUUGGCCGGAAUUAGUGGGCUGAAGGUGCUGGGAGGUGGUGUGUGGCGUCGUCUGGGAAAUUCCGGGGCGUAACGCCGGGCGUGCAGGCGAUACGGGCAGAACUUGAGUACUGUAGGGGAGACUGGAAUUCCUGGUGUAGCGGUGAAAUGCGCAGAUAUCAGGAGGAACACCGGUGGCGAAGGCGGGUCUCUGGGCAGUAACUGACGCUGAGGAGCGAAAGCAUGGGGAGCGAACAGGAUUAGAUACCCGUGUAGUC
rnacentral:rRNA from 1 species